rnacentral:lncRNA from 1 species
AGAACUUCAAAGACUUAGUGCUCAGGGGAUAUAAAAAUAAUGCAUUGUAUGCCGGAAGGGAUAAAUCUGGGGCUGAGUACAAGCAAAACAAGACCAAAGGAAGCUACCUGAGCAGGUAUUCCAGAUACUCAUGUCAUACACCAAGGUUGUACCAGUGCCCCUUUCUCUGUGACACAUCCAUCCACUGGAAACUUUCGUACAACUAGCUGAAAGAAGAGAAACAUCCUAUUUCAUGUCACUGGAGCCCUAAUGAUCGCAGCCAUUUCAGGAAAUGCCAUCAAUUACAGUGAGGAGCUCAUUCAGAAGUGAAAGAUGAGUUCCAUUCUCUGUUACUUAGAGGUAUUACAAAGCUCAAAUCUGAGAAAACCUUGUCUACCAUCAACCCUGACCUACAGAGGAGAGGCACCCCCAAGCUUAUUAGUGAUCCUGUCUCCGUCUUAUUGGCACAUCCUGAUGGCCUUGAUCUCUAGUUCUUCCUGUGGAGCAUAACCAUAUGGUUCUUUGCCAAGAUGUUAAGACCAAAGUCGGAGAGUGAACCCCAUGUCAAUGAAUUCUUGUUUUUCUGAUCUUACAUUCCAUCACUUUGAUCCAGUACUCUCAAAAUGCAAUCACAGUUGUACAUGUCUUCUCCUGUCAAUAAACGCUACCUUAGUACUGCA